rnacentral:lncRNA from 1 species
AUCUCAAAAACACAAAUCAAGCAAUCACUUUAAUUUGUUACUUUUUAUAAAAGAAGAAUGAAUAAAGUUUUUUACCUGUUAGAUGCCGAUCACUUUAAUCUGUUCCGAUUCCGGUGCCGGUAGCAAACCCAUAUGAGAAAGAAAGGAAAGGUAGGAGUUUUUUACCUUAUCUGUAUUUUAACCUAACUUUGAAUGAAAAAUAAAAAAUAAAAAAUAAUUUUAAUUUAAAAUAAGGAUGUUUUAGUAAUUUAAUAUAUAUGAAUUAAAAAAAAGUUGAGGGGUGGUCGUGGCCUUCCCACGUCCCCC